rnacentral:rRNA from 1 species
AAAGAGAGGAGCGACGCUGGCUCCAGGACGAACGCUGGCGGCGUGCUUAACACAUGCAAGUCGAACGAUGAAGCCUAGCUUGCUGGGUGGAUUAGUGGCGAACGGGUGAGUAACACGUGAGUAACCUGCCCUUGACUCUGGGAUAAGCACUGGAAACGGUGUCUAAUACCGGAUAUUUCAACUGGCCGCAUGGUCUGGUUGUGGAAAGAAUUUUGGUCAAGGAUGGACUCGCGGCCUAUCAGGUAGUUGGUGAGGUAAUGGCUCACCAAGCCUACGACGGGUAGCCGGCCUGAGAGGGUGACCGGCCACACUGGGACUGAGACACGGCCCAGACUCCUACGGGAGGCAGCAGUGGGGAAUAUUGCACAAUGGGCGAAAGCCUGAUGCAGCAACGCCGCGUGAGGGACGACGGCCUUCGGGUUGUAAACCUCUUUUAGUAGGGAAGAAGCGAAAGUGACGGUACCUGCAGAAAAAGCACCGGCUAACUACGUGCCAGCAGCCGCGGUAAUACGUAGGGUGCAAGCGUUGUCCGGAAUUAUUGGGCGUAAAGAGCUCGUAGGCGGUUUGUCGCGUCUGCUGUGAAAACUGGAGGCUCAACCUCCAGCCUGCAGUGGGUACGGGCAGACUAGAGUGCGGUAGGGGAGAUUGGAAUUCCUGGUGUAGCGGUGGAAUGCGCAGAUAUCAGGAGGAACACCGAUGGCGAAGGCAGAUCUCUGGGCCGUAACUGACGCUGAGGAGCGAAAGCAUGGGGAGCGAACAGGAUUAGAUACCCUGGUAGUCCAUGCCGUAAACGUUGGGAACUAAAUGUGGGGGCCAUUCCACGGUCUCCGUGUCGCAGCUAACGCAUAAGUCCCCGCCUGGGAGACCGCA